rnacentral:rRNA from 1 species
GAUGAACGCUGGCGGCGUGCCUAAUACAUGCCAGUCGAGCGAACAGACGAGGAGCUUGCUCCUCUGACGUUAGCGGCGGACGGGUGAGUAACACGUGGAUAACCUACCUAUAAGACUGGGAUAACUUCGGGAAACCGGAGCUAAUACCGGAUAAUAUAUUGAACCGCAUGGUUCAAUAGUGAAAGACGGUUUUGCUGUCACUUAUAGAUGGAUCCGCGCCGCAUUAGCUAGUUGGUAAGGUAAAGGCUUACCAAGGCAACGAUGCGUAGCCGACCUGAGAGGGUGAUCGGCCACACUGGAACUGAGACACGGUCCAGACUCCUACGGGAGGCAGCAGUAGGGAAUCUUCCGCAAUGGGCGAAAGCCUGACGGAGCAACGCCGCGUGAGUGAUGAAGGUCUUCGGAUCGUAAAACUCUGUUAUUAGGGAAGAACAAAUGUGUAAGUAACUAUGCACGUCUUGACGGUACCUAAUCAGAAAGCCACGGCUAACUACGUG